rnacentral:rRNA from 1 species
CAGCAGCCGCGGUAAUACCGAGGGUGCGAGCGUUAAUCGGAUUUACUGGGCGUAAAGCGUGCGUAGGCGGCUAAUUGAGUCGGAUGUGAAAUCCCCGAGCUUAACUUAGGAAUUGCAUUCGAUACUGGGAAGCUAGAGUAUGGGAGAGGAUGGUAGAAUUCCAGGUGUAGCGGUGAAAUGCGUAGAGAUCUGGAGGAAUACCGAUGGCGAAGGCAGCCAUCUGGCCUAAUACUGACGCUGAGGUACGAAAGCAUGGGGAGCAAACAGGAUUAGAUACCCCCGUAGUCCCUGUCUCUUAUAC